CGGGACCACCGGCGGGAGAACUACAGCUCCCAGCGCGCCCCGCGCGGCGCCCCGCCCGCGCUUUACUUGUCGUGCCCUCCCGGUGUAUGCUGGGAGUGGUAGGCCUAGCGGGAGCGCUGGCUGCCAACGUGCGCGCUGGGAAUUGUAGUCCGUGGCGUGGCGCUGCGCCGGGGCAGCGCCGGGCGGGACGGGAGUGGCUCCACCGGGGCUGUCCCGGGGCCGGGAUGCCGCUCCCUGCCUCAGCUGCGCCGGGCUCUGCGCUGGGGCGGUGCCGUCCCACCUGCGCGGGCCUGCCCGGCCCCGGCGAGCCGCUGCCUGCCCGCCCGCCGGGGCCGCCGCACCUCCCCCCGCUCGCCUCAAACCUGGGCUUUGGGCGCUUUUAUGGUUGUUUUUUUUUUUUUCUUUUUUUUUACAGAAAAUCCUCAGCAGACACCGUCCAGCAGACAGGCGUGGCCAGGGCGUACGCGUCCCGGUGUUCACUUCCAGGCAGCGCCUCGGGAUUCGCGACGUGAAUCAAGGUCCUGUUUGACAUGUAAACAGCAGUAAAAGCCGGUGUCUUUCUAAACACCGAGAGAUUAAAUGUCGCCGAACCUGAUGGGCCAGCGUACCGGGAUCCCCCCCGCCCCCCAAGAGGAUAGGUUCGCCUUUUGGAAGAUCCUUGCCGCUGGGAGCAGCUUCCCUGGGAAACCCCCCUGGGGAGCCGCGGUUUGACCCGGUGUCGGUGGACAGGGAUUUGCCUAUCCUGGGCCUCUGCGAUGUCCCAGCAAGCCCCGAUUCCGGGACGUGGUGUAAUUUUAGAGUUUGCUAAUGAGCUUGCCUGUGUGCCCGGCACACAGUGUGUGCCUUGAGGAUUGGCAGUGCAGGCUGGUAAUCCUGCUAACCUGGCCCUGGCAGGUGGUGACAACUCCUUUAAUUGUUCUAGGAUUGAGAGCUGGCUUCUUGCUAUGCACAGAGCCUGGCGUGGAUGAGUAAAAUGAGGGAGAAAAUUAUUUUUGCUAAUAAUUCUUUUCCAUUCUGCCUUGAUGGUGGCUGCUGGCAUGCUCCCCUCUGCAAGCUUAGGCACCGUGCUGGACCUGUCAGCUGUGGGAUCCAAGGCUUAGGUUUGCUGGGACAUAAAACUGUGAUAAAACAUUUAUGUUCCAGUAAGCGACACCUCUCUGAUAGUUAUUUAAAGUCUCUGUCUGCAUUGUUCCAGAACUAUUUCCUUUUUCCUCUAAGCAACCUAGAGUAGGAAGCUGACGGUCCCUCAGGUAACCCGCUUUCACCUCGCUGGAAGCCUCGCCUGAUGUUGGAUUGGAGGCCAGCAGAACCCACAGAGGAUACUCCGAGUGCAGCAGACAGCAGAGAUGUGCAUUGCUGGAAUCCAGAGUGUUUCGUAAUUUGGCAGCCACUUGCUGAAAGCCCUGCAGAUACAAAACAACACUUAUUUCAAGUCUUGAGAAACAUCUACUAAGUAGAAGAAAAAAGCAUUUAGAGCGUGUUUCACCUCUGUGUGUGCUGACAAGAUCAGAAGUGCAGGGUGCCAGCAUGACUGUGACUGUGUUGAACAAUGCACACCAAUGCUUUCAGAAAUACAGUGGGAUCCUCAAGCUGUAUGCAAAAGACAAGAAGGAGAUGACCCUAUUCAGUGUGAUGAUUUUUCUUUCACUGCUACAUACGUAAAAGUGUCUGGAAAUCUAUUAUCCAAGGGACACAAAACCAGCUUUUUGACAGGCUGCUCUUCCUGCUAAAACCUGGUAAAUGCAGAGACCUGACUGUGUGAAAGAGCAAUUUAUAUUAGGAUUGGAAUUCACUUCAGGCUUUACUGCUAUUUGUCACCACUCAGGAAACCCAUCCCUAGCUCUAGGAGAACACUCAAUCCCUGCUGACAGCCUGGAAGAGGAAGAGAAAAUAGCAGAGCUGCAGCUAUUAAGACCAACAGGCAAAUAUUUUAUUCAAACUCAACUUUUUCUUCCCGAGUUACUUUUAAAGAAUAUUUUUCUGUUUGUGGGAAUGUGAAUGUGGGUUGUUUGUUUGUUUGUUUGUUUUCCUGGGGACUCUCCUAUUCAGCCACUUCAUCUUCUCCCACCUUUCAGACAGCAGAGCUCGCAGCAGUGACAAGAUGUAAUCCUAAGUAAAACUGCCUCUGCCUGUGGCCUUGGUUAACCUGCUGGCAGUGAUACGUGUCUGGGCACGGGGCAACUGUUUUACACAGCUCAGCAUGGACGUGCUGCCACUCCCAGUCACUUUUAGGACCCAGUUGAGUUGUUUACAGCAAUCUCAAAAAAAGCUUGUAAUAAAAAUUGUUCUGCCUUCCUGAAGCCACCA